UCUGACGACCAUAGCGUCUUGGAACCACCCCUUCCCAUCCCGAACAGGACCGUGAAACAAGACCGCGCCGAUGAUAGUGCCCACACGGGUGUGAAAGUAGGUCAUCGUCAGAC
rnacentral:rRNA from 1 species